ACACUGGCAAAAUGAAUGCUUCCUUGAACAAAGCUAACCAAAGGUGCCAUCAACUGUCUUAAUCUGAACAGGAAGGAAGCCUAGUUUUCAACAUAGACAACAGCUUGUGUGAAGCUGUCACUUUCAGGGUGUGCACCACCCAGUGUUCAUUUGUUAACAUCAAUAAUGUGUGACCACGAAAGGAAACCCUUCUGAAGAUCGAAGAUCCUGCUCGCAGCUAUGCCUCAUUGCCUACCAUGGCCUCAUUGCCUCUUUGAGGUUUACCGUAGUGUUCUCCGUCUGAUUGUGAUGUGUUGAGGAUGAGCUGAAUGUUACUGAUAUUGAUACCUGAUAUCUAAUUGUGGUCAAUGUUUUGUAAUACCGUGACAUUUUCCAAUGCCAAAGUUUAUUUCCAACGAGCCAAAGCUUAUUUGCAUUGCACUUACGAGCGGUAGUGUGAUGUGUAGAACGUAUAGUAAGUAGGUACGAUUGGGAACCACUUACUCUGUAACCCAAAGUGGCAUGUUUGCAUAUAUGAGAAUGUUCAGUGUUCAUCGUCUUUAGAUAAUAAAAGCAUUGGCAUACCAGGAA